CGCCUCUUGUUAAAUUAUAAGAGGUCUAGCCUGCCCAAUGAUUUCUUAAAUGGCCGCGGUAUCCUAACCGUGCUAAGGUAGCACAAUAACUUGUCCCUUAAAUGGGGACUUGUAUGAAUGGCAUUACGAGGAUUACACUGUCUCCUCCCCCCAAUCAGUGAAACUGACCUCCCUGUGAAAAGGCAGGGAUUAUAUUAUAAGACGAGAAGACCCCAUGGAGCUUCAGACUCAGGGCAUAUCCAACCCCUCACUCCAAUAAAACCUUGGAUCUCUGACCCCUAGUCUUAGGUUGGGGCGACCAUGGAGUACAAUUAAACCUCCAUGCUGAACGGACAAAUCCUAAUCUAAGAGUCACAACUCUAAGAAUCAAAAAACUGACAACUACUGAUCCGAAAUUCGAUCAACGAACCAAGUUACCCUGGGGAUAACAGCGCCAUCUACCUUGAGAGUUCAUAUCGACAGGUGGGUUUACGACCUCGAUGUUGGAUCAGGGUAUCCUUGUGGUGCAGCCGCUACAUAAGGUUUGUUUGUUCAACAAUUAAAACCCU
rnacentral:rRNA from 1 species